rnacentral:ncRNA from 12 species
UUUGUCUGAGGUGAGAAAUUUUGCCACCCACUCACACACUGAGUCCGUAAAAGGCCAGUCAAGGUAGAUGCAGGGCGUGGUGGACCUGCCAGACAAA